UCCGGUUGAUCCCGCCGGACCUGACUGCUAUCGGAUUGGUACUAAGCCAUGCGAGUCAUUGUAGCAAUACAAGGCGGACGGCUCAGUAACACGUAGUCAACCUAACCUAUGGACGUGGAUAACCUCGGGAAACUGAGAAUAAACCACGAUAGAUCAUAGUGCCUGGAAUGGCUUAUGGUCCAAACAGUUUACUGCCAUGGGAUGGGACUGCGGCCUAUCAGCUUGUUGGUGAGGUAAUGGCCCACCAAGGCGAUUACAGGUACGGGCUCUGAGAGGAGUAGCCCGGAGAUGGGUACUGAGACACGGACCCAGGCCCUAUGGGGCGCAGCAGGCGAGAAACCUUAGCAAUGUGCGAAAGCACGACUGGGUCAGUCCGAGUGAUUCCUGAUAAAGGAGUCUUUUGCCUGUCCUAAAAGCACAGGUGAAUAAGGGGUGGGCAAGUCUGGUGUCAGCCGCCGCGGUAAUACCAGCACCUCGAGUGGUCAGGACGUUUAUUGGGCCUAAAGCAUCCGUAGCCGGCUCUGCAAGUCUUCGGUUAAAUCCACCUGCUCAACAGAUGGGCCGCUGGAGAUACUACAGAGCUAGGGAGUGGGAGAGGCAGACGGUAUUCAGUGGGUAGGGGUAAAAUCCUCUGAUCCAUUGAGGACCACCAGUGGCGAAAGCGGUCUGCCAGAACACGUUCGACGGUGAGGGAUGAAAGCUGGGGGAGCAAACCGGAUUAGAUACCCGGGUAGUCCCAGCUGUAAACGAUGCAAACUCGGUGAUGCAUUGGCUUAUGGCCAAUGCAGUGCCGCAGGGAAGCCGUUAAGUUUGCCGCCUGGGAAGUACGGACGCAAGUCUGAACUUAAAGGAAUUGGCGGGGGAGCA
rnacentral:rRNA from 1 species